CGGCAAGAGCUCAAAUUUGAAAGCUGGCUCCUUCGGGGUCCGCAUUGUAAUUUGCAGAGGAUGCUUCGGGUGCGGCCCCUGUCUAAGUGCCCUGGAACGGGCCGUCAGAGAGGGUGAGAAUCCCGUCUGGGAUGGGGUGUCCGCGCCCGUGUGAAGCUCCUUCGACGAGUCGAGUUGUUUGGGAAUGCAGCUCUAAAUGGGUGGUAAAUUUCAUCUAAAGCUAAAUACUGGCCGGAGACCGAUAGCGCACAAGUAGAGUGAUCGAAAGAUGAAAAGCACUUUGAAAAGAGAGUUAAAAAGCACGUGAAAUUGUUGAAAGGGAAGCG
rnacentral:rRNA from 1 species